UACGGAGGGUGCAAGCGUUGUCCGGAAUCACUGGGCGUAAAGGGCGCGUAGGCGGCUCAUGAAGGCUGUGGUGAAAGUCCGGGGCUCAACCUCGGAUCGGCCGUGGCGACUCGUGGGCUGGAGCACUGUAGAGGCGGGUGGAAUUCCGGGUGUAGCGGUGGAAUGCGCAGAUAUCAGGAGGAACACCGAUGGCGAAGGCAGGUCACUGGGCCACUACUGACGCUGAGGAGCGAAAGCAUGGGGAGCGAACAGG
rnacentral:rRNA from 1 species